UACGUAGGGGGCGAGCGUUGUCCGGAAUCAUUGGGCGUAAAGGGCUCGCAGGCGGUCGGCCGCGUCGCGCGUGAAGGCCCCCGGCUCAACCGGGGGCGGUCGCGGGAUACGGGUCGGCUGGAGGCAGGUAGGGGGGCGCGGAAUCCCGGGUGUAGUGGUGGAAUGCGUAGAGAUCCGGGGGAACACCGGCGGCGAAGGCGGCGCCCUGGACCUGGCCUGACGCUCAGGAGCGAAAGCGUGGGGAGCGAUCCGG
rnacentral:rRNA from 1 species